AUGUUAGUAUCUACAGAAGAGAAACAAAUAUUAUGCUAAAGCAAAUGGCAUGAGCUGCUAUAAUUUACUGAAUAGGUACUUUCUAUGCUACUGUAAGAAACAGUAAUUGAAAGAGAAAUUGUAUUGUUUUACUAUAUUUACUAUAUACAUUUAAUGUAAGUCGAGAUUUAGAAGAAACAAACUGUGUCUGCAAACUGAAUUUGUUCUCUUCGAAUACUGCACCAUUUUGACAAUGUAAGAAAUGCUUUAAGUUUUAUUGCAGCUAAUUUUAAGUACUGUAAAAUGAAUAGCGGGUUGAAUUAACUGAUUUGAGAGCAUUUGUAAUAUAUGGAAGGGCUUUAUAUUUCCUUCUACUAAAAAGAACAGAAAAUGUCAUCUAAUUUUUUAUGUAAAAGAAAAGAAGCAGGUGAUUUUUCAUGGGUUAUUAUUUAACCCUUUCAACAGCAGAGCGAGAUAGUGAGAGGAAAAAAUCACUUGUCUCGAGCUGGUAGGCACUAUAUCUGGACUAGGUCUAUUUUAGUGCAGCUCAAACUCUAACAUGAGAAGAUUGCAGAAAUUUACAAUUCAAAGUGUGUUUCAUCAGGGAGAAAUCCACAGAUUGUUUUGACACUCAGUUAGAAAUUCAGCAUGAAGAUGGACAUCUCAUGAAAUUUGCAGCUGCUGAUAGAAUUUAUAUUUCCAUAAAGGCCAUCAACAGUAGCAGCCUGCAGGGGAAGUCAAGGAAAAAUGACAAAAAUUGUGAGGCUAGCAUUUUUUCCUCAGUCUUAUAGUAGCAAAUUACUUGUAAUAAGGUUCUACGCUGACCAGGAUUAAAGAGAAAUGGAGGUAGCCAGAAGGGAAUGAUUUCUCUGUUUAACUGAUUUGAACUAACAAUGUCUGAAUUUGAUAUUUAAAUAUAUGUUUAGUCAUUUGUACAGUAUGUAAAAUGCACAACUGCAAAUCAAAAAUGUCCUUAAACUGAAAAAUGAGACUUUUAGUGGUAAUUACAGAAGGUUUAUCUUACAGGUAAUUUGAUUCUAGAAUAAAUUCCCAGGAUAGAAAAUUAAUGAUUGUCUAACGUGCAAAAGUAGGUCGUCUUUAUUAGGGACAAAAAUCUCAUCUCAUUUCAUCUCUGGCAUGUAUCCUCUCAUUCAUACACGCACAGAUAGGAGAGGAUGUGUAAGAUCUGAAUUCACUUUUCUGAGCAGCAACUCUCAUUAUGUUACCUUUUAAAAAGCAAACAUGCAUUCACAAAAACAAACCCAUGUUGUCAAAACAAUUAGUAAGAAAUGCUAUUGGAACAAAUGCCGUAAUAAAAUUUAACAGAUUUAUCUUUUCUUUAGAAGGGUUUACAUAUUACUAUUUCUGUUUUUAUGGAAGGAACAGGGCAGGAGGGAAAGUUUCUUCUUUUAUGGUAGAAUCAUCAUCAUUGGUAUCUUUCUUGAGAGAUUCUAGCUCUCAUAACACCUUUGUUUCAAAACACCUGCACAUCUUUAGAGUAUGGAAAGGUUUAAUGUUUAGGUGUUUUCUUUCAUCUUGGUGUUAGAGAAUUCUGUGUGCAACUUGCAGUGGAUAGCAAGGCAGCUGUACUCACAGAGUUGAAUUCAGAAGCCUUUCCUUACAGUUAAUAGCCUGCAUCUGUGCCAUCCUUAGCUGCAGUUCCAUCAUGCCUUGCAAGGUAAGGAACGUCAACAGAAAUAAAUUUUGAGGUCAGUAGACAUCUAAAUGUCCCAGAAACUGGUAUUGGCAUUCUCCAUAGCUGAACAAUAACAAGAGUUAUGCAUUAGUAUGGUGAGACACAAGUCAUGUAGUCUUGAUAUUACUAUGGUUUCCUAGUGUAUGGGGAUAUUUAAGAAUGAAAGUGCUUGUGCAACCUCUUAACAUAAAAACAUAGGGAUCGCGUAUCUUAGCUGCUCACACCAGAAAUGAAUGAGUUAGAAUUCUAAUGAGAUUCACCAAAUAACUGCCAUAAUGAGAAACUCUGUGAACAUCAUUAUUUCUGAGUGUUUACAUUUUAAGGAUUAAAUUGGUGAAGUGAAAUCAAGUAACUAAUUAAAAUUAAAAUACAGUUUAGGAACCUGUGAGUCUUUCACAUGAAAUUAUUUAAUUGUAGAGCUUAUAAGUAUCACAGCUUGUUCUUUCAGUGGUUGUAAACUCUGUGUAUCAAACACUUGUAUUACAGUUAUUGCAAGCUAUGGAAGUCUAGAGUUUGCUGUCCAGAGUAAGUCUUUCAUCUUUUCUUUCAGUGGUAUCAGCAUAAAUGAUUUGACAUAGAAAAUUUUGCAUGUACUUAUUGCCGAGAACAGUUGCACUUGGUAUGUUAGCUUAUAGUAAUAGCAAAGUAUUCCAAAAUCAACAGGCACAAAAUUCAGUAUUUUAAUACUUGAUGACUGGCUACUUAGAUAAUGUAAAACCAUGUGACCUCAGUAUUUGCUGUUUAGUCUAAAAUUUGCUUAGUUAAACUGGAGCUGUGAAAGUAGAAAGCAGGAAAAACUGUUAAGUGGGAGCUGAAUGUUGUUUUUUGCAUGUGAAUUUGUUUUUUCUUGCAAAGUGACCACAGAAACUCUGAUUUUAGUAGAAAAAAUCAUGGGUUGACUAAGAUCUAAAAAGUUUUGACUUUCAGGUAGUUCUUGGGCCCUGCUCUUGCACCUUAUCCUCUUCUUUCUCAAAGUAACUUUGAAAGCAGGUAAGAUAUUGCUGCAAUUCCUUGGCUAUGUAAAGUUUUUUACUUCUUCACCACCUACACCUCUCUGAGCUCACCAAAACUGCUAAAAUCUGCUGUUUUUUCCCUAGAAUCGGUGUUACUGGAAAAUACCUUAACUCAUGGGGUGUGCACAGGCUGGCUUAGAGAAACAGACUUUUGAAGCACAGCUUUAAAAGUAACCUGACAAUGUAAAGUAAGAGUUAAAUUGGGCAAAAAUUUUCAGCUGUUGAAAGGUAAAUGAUUUCACACUACUAACAUUAAUUCACUGAAUUGUUGUACCUUCUGGUAUGUAUUGUUUAAUUUCAUUAAAAAGAAGUUGUUUAUCUUAGAACUCUAACCAAGUAAACAUUUUUUUUAUUUCUGUAUAUAACAAAUGGUGACAUUUUACUAACUUAAGAUAUUGAAAGUUAUAGAACUACAUGCUAACUUGAACGAUUCUUAAACUCCUGUAAGCAUUAAUAUAGCAUUCUUUUAAUCCUUUUAAAAAGCAUAUUACUAAUAAUGCUUGCAAUUUAUUUCUUGGUUUUUACCUCAAUGCCUUUAAAAUAAACAUUAAAUAUUGAUAUAUGUCGCAUAUGUAUCUUAAUAGAUACAUUAAAAAGCACACUAGAAAUUUAUUGUAAAUAUGAACAUGAAGGUACAGGAAAAUACAAUGGCUGAUGAACAUAAAAGAAAUCUUAUUGUAAAGCAUCAAACUAGUGAGUCAGAAAAAUGUUUAUGAAGUUAUUUCUAAACUGGUGUGCACCCUUUUUCAAAUACCUUUUUCAGAUAUCUUCUUUUCAGCCCUCAUAUAUUUGAACAAAUAAGGAUACAAGA